rnacentral:rRNA from 1 species
ACCAGACUCCUACGGGAGGCAGCAGUGAGGGAUAUUGGUCAAUGGGGGAAACCCUGAACCAGCAACGCCGCGUGAGGGAAGACGGUUUUCGGAUUGUAAACCUCUGUCCUCUGUGAAGAUAAUGACGGUAGCAGAGGAGGAAGCUCCGGCUAACUACGUGCCAGCAGCCGCGGUAAUACGUAGGGAGCAAGCGUUGUCCGGAUUUACUGGGUGCAAAGGGUGCGUAGGCGGCCCUGCAAGUCAGAAGUGAAAUCCAUGGGCUUAACCCGUGAACUGCUUUUGAAACUGUAGGGCUUGAGUGAAAUAGAGGCAGGCGGAAUUCCCGGUGUAGCGGUGAAAUGCAUAGAUAUCACGCAGAACUCCGAUUGCGAAGGCAGCAUACCGGCGCUCAACUGACGCUCAUGCACGAAAGUGUGGGUAUCGAACAGGAUUAGAUACCCGGGUAUCC